GCUGUAUCAUCUCCUCUGCAUCUGCUUUAUCAAGCUCUCCAGCUCUUGCAUCUUCCAUGAGCACAUGGCCUUGUUUCCUUCUUGAAUAAAUCGGUUAGCGUACUGCAUUCUUAUCGUAUGAACUCUAGGGUUGCUUAAUCAUAUGCACACAUAGAACUUUCAGCUUGUGGCUUGGUGCCAUGUGCUCAUCAGGACGGUUGCAAAGUACAUAUUUUGAAGUCUUUUUCCCUGAUUAGCAUGUUCUUUCUUUUCAUGUAAUUCACUGUUACUGGGCAAUGAGAUAGCCACCCCCUUGCAAAUACCCAGUGUCAACUUGAUGCAUCACAUGCAGCAAUUGAUAUAUUUGAUGCUUGUUAUGUGGUACUUGGUAGGUUUGUAUAUAUUCCUAUUGGUGCCCUGUUCAUAUGGAAAGCUCAUGCUGUUUCAUCUAUCCGCAGGCGCUGAUGCCACGUGGCCUAGGAAGAAGAAUUUGGUUCCUCUGAGCAUGUUGUGGUCAGGAAGAGAAGGUGAUGCGUGGAUCGGAUGUAUUUGUUUGUUCAAUGCCUUUGCCGUGUCGGAAGCUAUGAUGCCCAGUUGCAGCAUUUGAACUUUUAGGUCCUGACCGUUCAAAACCUGAACAUCUUGUUACUGCAAUGUUAAUGUCUAAAAGCACGGGUAUGCCCUGCUUAGAUAGAACCUGAGCUUGCUUGUAUCCACUGAACUCCUGCAAUGGCAAGGAGGUCUAGAAUAUUACUGGAUGAAAUGCUUUGUUUCGAUGAAUCACAAGUAAAUAUUACUACUAGUAUGAUGUGUCAUUUUGGCACCAUUUCACGUCUGGUUAUUUUAUCCGCGUUACUUUUGUCUAAUUA
rnacentral:lncRNA from 1 species